GACGAACGCUGGCGGCGUGCCUAAUACAUGCAAGUCGAGCGAAGUUUUUCUGGUGCUUGCACUAGAAAAACUUAGCGGCGAACGGGUGAGUAACACGUAAAGAACCUGCCUCAUAGACUGGGACAACUAUUGGAAACGAUAGCUAAUACCGGAUAACAGUAUUUCUCGCAUGGGAGAUAUUUAAAAGUUGGUUAUGCUAACACUAUGAGAUGGCUUUGCGGUGCAUUAGCUAGUUGGUGGGGUAAAGGCCCACCAAGGCGACGAUGCAUAGCCGACCUGAGAGGGUGAUCGGCCACACUGGGACUGAGACACGGCCCAGGCUCCUACGGGAGGCAGCAGUAGGGAAUCUUCCGCAAUGGGCGAAAGCCUGACGGAGCAACGCCGCGUGAGUGAAGAAGGAUUUCGGUUCGUAAAGCUCUGUUGUUAGGGAAGAAUGGAUAUGUAGUAACUAUACAUGUAAGAGACGGUACCUAACCAGAAAGCCACGGCUAACUACGUG
rnacentral:rRNA from 1 species